rnacentral:rRNA from 1 species
CGACCGGCGCACGGGUGAGUAACACGUAUCCAACCUGCCGUCUACUCUUGGACAGCCUUCUGAAAGGAAGAUUAAUACAAGAUGGCAUCAUGAGUCCGCAUGUUCACAUGGUUAAAGGUAUUCCGGUAGACGAUGGGGAUGCGUUCCAUUAGAUAGUAGGCGGGGUAACGGCCCACCUAGUCUUCGAUGGAUAGGGGUUCUGAGAGGAAGGUCCCCCACAUUGGAACUGAGACACGGUCCAAACUCCUACGGGAGGCAGCAUG